AUGCAAAAUUUGUUGAUGGAUUUGAAUAAACACUCCAAAUGUGGUCAAAUUCUUGUCUGGGAGUUCAAUAGGAUCACCCAUGUUCUCAAAUUUAAGACAUGCGGCAACAUCCUCACCCUCAUUCUCCAUGAUCAUUUUGUGCAUGAGCACACAUCAUAUCAUCACCUCCCACAAGGUCUCUGGAUCCCAUUGUUUAGAAGAUUCACAAACAAGUGCAAAAUGGACCUGCGGAACUCCCAAUGCCCUCUCGAUAUUGUUUCUAGCCACUUCUUGUCUUUGAGCAAAGUGAUACUUUUUCUGGCCAACUGGACAGAGAUGGUGCCCAUAAAGGUAACCCAUGUCUGGCAUUCAAGUUAG
rnacentral:rRNA from 1 species